rnacentral:lncRNA from 1 species
CUCCCUGUAUUAGCAUUUAGUGACCCAGCACUAAAGAGGGGUGCAGUUCAAAUAGUGGUGCUUCUCACAGGGUUUUGUGUCAAGCCAGAGGAAAUAAUAGGGGAAUGAAAGCUGCCAAAACGUGUCUCCCAAUUACUAAUUAAUCAGACCAGAAAGGACCUCAGUGGAGGAUCUCAUGUCCACCGUGGCAGCAACUUGGGGAUGCUUCGUCUUAAAUACCAUAUGAAUGAAGUUAAAGUUAGCCACCCCAGGCAGUGUGGCACCCAGAUAGGAGGACACGAAUGUUAAUUGUUCUUAAAGUCUGAAAGCGGAGACCAAACGACAAUUUAAAACUGAAUCUUUGUACUCCUCACUGCUGUUAUCCAAACAUGAAGCUAUUCUAAAGAGUAUUUCCCUUAUUAAUAAGCAAUGCCUUUAUUCUUAUUAAUAUUUCAGGGCAAGCAUUAUGCUAUUCUUGGUUUUAGUAUUGGUGUAGCACUGGACACAUACUUUACUGUUGGGCGACUUGGGUCCGUUUUUAAACUUUCCCCCCACACUUUCUGCCAGUCAUCCAUCUAUAUUUUGGAGAUUACUGUAACUGGAGGAUGAAACCCCCCUUUCCGCACACAUUAAAAUCUAUAUGUAGACACACUCUGCUUCUUUUUCAGCCCUGUUUCCUCUGUAGUUGCUGGGCCCAUUAUUAAAUGCCUGUUAUUAAUGUAUUUUUUUUCUAUAGCAUUUACAAUAUAUAAAGGAAAAGGUCUUGGGUAGCACUAUAGCUGUCAGGGGAACAAUGAAAACUAAUUACACACUCAGCCGUCACCGUUGUCAACUAUCCUCUUGGGAGGACAAUAACAUGAUGUGUGUGUGUGUGUGUGUGUGUGAUCCAUAUGUAUACACAUAGGGUCAGACAUACCUUUUACUUCAUUUUCGAGCUAUACAUUUUCUGAAUCUAAAUAAAGCACUGGCAACAAAAUGUACACACGCUAUCUAAUUUGUCUAAUUAGGUUCAAGAACAACAGUUCUUUGAUGGGGACCCCGCCCCUUACUGCCCUUUCUUCACAAUGUAGAUAGAAUCAGUCAAUUCAUGCCUUUGAGUUGUCUCAUUAAUUUAAAUAUUAUUUGGGCAUGGUCUUACAAUCAAUGCACACAUGUUGUUAAUUAUCUAAUUAUUUCGUGAAAACUCUUAUUUCCUUACUUUGGAUAUUUGUGUCAAUAACUGGAUGAUCAAGAACUAAUCAAUUUAGUCCAUGUAGCUUGUUGGAGCGGUUUUCACGGUCCUGGCCACUCUUAGAUGCAGUUAAGAAUGAAAAUAAAGCAACUAAUAGUAGUGGUUUGGUUUUUUUUUUUUUUUUUUUUUUUUUUUUUUUCUUUUCCUUCCAAACCUCCACAGCUUUGGUGUAUUUGGGGACAAGCCUUUGAAGCAGUUGAAUAACAGGGUGCUUCAGAGUCAGUUCUGAGUUACACUUACCUUACAGUCUGCUUGAGCUCUGGUCCUGCCCAGAAUCAGACUGUGUCUUAUAUAAAUAUUUUACACCCAGACUUUUCCGUUUUGGGUGAACUCUCUCUGUUUGAAGAGAAUCUAUUUCUUGUAUCUCAUCCUAGAGGCAAUUGGGGGUGGGGGUGGGGACUCAGGAACUUUAUAUUGAUUUGACAAUAUUUAAAAACAAACAAAAAUUUCACACAAGAGAAGUGUUAUAGGUAUUAGUAAUAAUAUAUUCAUGUGUUGGAAACUUGGAAGUUAUGGUUGAUAAAAUAUUUACUGAGCUGUACCAUAUGUAAAGCACUGAAAAGUAGACCCAAGGCUUAGGGGGAGGCGGGCAGCGUCUGUGCUCCUGGGCAGUCCAAGGGUUUGGUUCAGAGUUAAGAAUUCUGUGGCUAUAAUGACAGUACAGACUAGACAGUAUUAUAAGAAAUCUUUACGUCAUUUCACCUGACAGGUGUCUGUAAAGUGUCUACUAUGGGCCAGGUAUUGUUCUCAGAGCUGGCGAUAUAGCACUGCAGACCACAUGCCAGCCACCAGGAAGUGUUCAUUUAGUGCUUUCUAGGUCCCUGGGGUGCAUUCUGAGCUCUUGGGGAAUCUUGCUGAACUGCAGAUUUUAAUUCAGUAGACCUUGGUAGGGGCCUGGUGUCUCAAAAUUUCUGACCAGGUUCCCCGGGGAAACUGCCACAAGCAUGAGUGCCACAAGUUGUGAGUUCCCUAGUUGUGAACAUGGGAGCUCUGUGGACAUGCCGUACAAGAGAUUCUUUCUCUGGCUUCGUGUAAGGAUUUUGGGCGGUUUUUUGUCUUGAGCUUUCUAUGGAGUCGUCUCUCUGGUUUCUAAAAUGGCUUUGUAUUUUCAUGAUCGAAAAGUUAUUUGUCAUUUAAAAGACCUAAAAGCCUCAGCUGUCCUCAUUUCUAGCCCUUUCCAUGAAAUUGCAGACAUAUAAAAUGAAAUUGGACAUUGAGGUUUAUGCUUCAUUAAAAACAUACCACUAACAAGGUCAGAGCUGGGGAUUUGGUUUUAAGACCUCUCUGUAGACAAGUCCUACUUCAGUAAGAAUGUUGUCUUGGUCCAAGAGGUUUGAAGAGAAUUCUGCUAUAAAUUUUAAGGAUAUUUACACACAAACCUUCCCCGAAGGUACUACGAAUAGCGGUUCCAGAAUGACACCUCAAAACAAAACAAAACAAAACACU